rfam:Callorhinchus milii dengenscaf_1099306766534, whole genome shotgun sequence.
AAGUUAUCGGGAACAGAGAUUCCCAUAAUUU